CUCUAGAAUUCUGUAUAUACGGUUUUAGGUUGGGGUGACCGCGGAGCAUAAAUUAGCCUCCACGAUGAACGGGAACUAUUCCAUUACCUAAGAAUUACAUUUCUAAGAAUUAGUAUUCUAACAUAAAAUGAUCCGAUUUAUUCGAUCAACGAACCAAGUUACCCUGGGGAUAACAGCGCAAUCCAUUUCAAGAGCCCCUAUCGACAAAUGGGUUUACGACCUCGAUGUUGGAUCAGGGUAUCCUAGUGGUGCAGCAGCUACUAAAGGUUCGUUUGUUCAACGAUUAAAACCCU
rnacentral:rRNA from 1 species